GCUCGGGUAGCUCAAUUGGUAGAGCAAAACAUUGAAGCUGUUUUGGUUAUAAGUUCAAAUCUUAUCUCGAGCA